UUUCUCCUUUCUUGGACUGAUCUGGUGUUAUGGGUGAAAACUGGGCAGUGAUGUUCCUGCUUGUGAAUGCAUCUGUUAAUGCUCCUGGUGGCAAGUUGAGAUCAUAGGUGGCUUGGGCAGGAACGUAAUUUCCGGCUGUAAGGUGUAGAAAACAUCCCAAUGCAUGGGGUCUGGGAGAGUCAGAUUUCAAAUGAGGCAUAAAAAACACCACCACCACCGCCGCAGCUGCCGCAAGUGGAGUCAGCGUGAUGGUGAAAGUGUCCCGGGUAUCAAUGGUUUGUGGGUAAAAGGAAACAAUCAGAAUGAUGGCAUGGCAAAGGUGUAUCAUGUAAAUAUGUAUGAUACAUUACACGAUAAGCAAAUACCAAUUCGUGUUUCACUUUCUUUGCUUUGGUCCUAAAUCCAGAUGCAGUUUUUUUAAGGUAUGUAGCUAACUGAUUUUCACAUGUUAUUGAAUAUGUGGGGGUUGUUUGGUGCAGCUUAUGGAGAUGCUUAUAGUUUUGUUCUUUGUGAAAUCUGUUCUAGAGUGUUGGGUGCAGCAUCUGAUUACAACUUAUGAGGCAGAAAAAACUAAAAUAAGUUGAAGAAAAACUCAUGAUUGAGAAAUAGGUGGAGAUGUGCUUUUAAUUUAUGUUUUCUGAUUAUGAGCUUUUAGCUUGAUAAAAGUUGCGCCAAACAAGCACAUGGAUUCUGUUUUGGAAAUGGAGCUGGUGGCGUUUCACAAACCCCAUUGACAUUGGGAGUUACAGUUGAAAGCAACGGAAGCUUUAACUAAACAGUAAUCACCAAAUCAAAGGCAAAGUUAGUAAUACUCACAUAAAGGCCUAUCCAGUGCACAAUUGCUGUUACUCCACA